GACGAACGCUGGCGGCGUGCUUAACACAUGCCAGUCGAACGGAAAGGCCCUGCUUUUGUGGGGUGCUCGAGUGGCGAACGGGUGAGUAACACGUGAGUAACCUGCCCUUGACUUUGGAAUAACUUCAGGAAACUGGGGCUAAUACCGGAUAGCAGCUCCUGCUGCAUGGGGGUGGUUGGACAGUUUGGGCGGAUGGGGAUGGACUCGCGGCUUAUCAGCUUGUUGGUGGGGUAGUGGCUUACCAAGGCUUUGACGGGUAGCCGGCCUGAGAGGGUGACCGGCCACAUUGGGACUGAGAUACGGCCCAGACUCCUACGGGAGGCAGCAGUGGGGAAUAUUGCACAAUGGGCGGAAGCCUGAUGCAGCAACGCCGCGUGCGGGAUGACGGCCUUCGGGUUGUAAACCGCUUUCGCCUGUGACGAAGCGUGAGUGACGGUAAUGGGUAAAGAAGCACCGGCUAACUACGUG
rnacentral:rRNA from 1 species